rnacentral:rRNA from 1 species
GGACCCGCACAAGCGGUGGAUUAUGUGGAUUAAUUCGAUGCAACGCGAAAAACCUUACCUACCCUUGACAUGUCCGAGAGCCCGGUGAGAGCUGGGUGUGCCCGAAAGGGAAUCGGAACACAGGUGCUGCAUGGCUGUCGUCAGCUCGUGUCGUGAGAUGUUGGGUUAAGUCCCGCAACGAGCGCAACCCUUGUCAUUAGUUGCUACCGCAAGGAGCACUCUAAUGAGACUGCCGGUGACAAACCGGAGGAAGGUGGGGAUGACGUCAAGUCCUCAUGGCCCUUAUGGGUAGGGCUUCACACGUAAUACAAUGGCGCGUACAGAGGGUUGCCAAGGGGCGACCUGGAGCCAAUCCCUUAAAGCGCGUCGUAGUCCGGAUAGGAGUCUGCAACUCGACUCCUUGAAGUCGGAAUCGCUAGUAAUCGCGGAUCAGCAUGUCGCGGUGAAUACGUUCCCGGGUCUU